CAGGCAAUUGCAGCGCAGCCAUCAUCAAUUGUCGGUUUCGGCUCCACAGCCGUCAACUUCGGCUCCGAAACAAAAGACCUGUCAUUCACGACACCACCACAAAGAAAAUUUCGGGACCAAAACAAACGUGAUUUGAUUUCGCUCGAGGAAGGUUAAGUGUGUGAUUAUUUAAGCUAAUGAAAUAGUGUUUUAACCGUUUUAACAGUUUUAACUGAUUUUUCUUUGAACUUUUCAAUGUCUCUGAAAAGGCUGGCGGCGAAGCAAGCUGCGAUAGAAAAUAGCUGCAAAUUAAAGACGACCCGGAAAAGUUGCUACGGAGUUACUAAGAACGGGAAGCUCACGAAGUGGACAACAAACCGGAGGAGCUUUCACUGGGGUCUCUCGUGCGCCGGAUUGAGCUAGUCAAAGUCACACACUAGGGCAAUGUGUGUUAACCACGUCGACGAUACAAGAAACGUCCUCUUCGGACGAAGACGACCUGGAUCGAAAAGGGAACGUUGAGAAGCGCCACCAGCGACAGCAAACCAUCGGCAUCGGCAAGCAUCGGCCAAAGUGCAUACCUAUUAAAAUCUCAUCCGGCAUGAUUCGGAGUUGCUUGAAAUUAGUUAAGUUAAUUAAUGAAAGUAAAAUAAAAAAAAA